GCUACUUGGGAGGCUGAGGCAGAAGGAUCGCUUGAGACCAGGAGUUUGAGGGUGCAGUGAACUAUGAUGGCGCCACCACACUCCAGCCUGGGAGACAGAGUGAGACCCUGUCUCUAAAAGAAAAAAGAAAAUUCAAGAUACAGAGCCAGACAGGAGCCUGGAUGGCCAUCUUUCUUCUGAUAGCAAUAAGCUGGAUGCUGGGAUAGAAGCCUGAUACCUCCUCCAACCCUAGUCCUUGGCCUCUAGUUUACUCGCCUGAGGCAAGGGUAGAGUGGAGGAAGAUUUAGGGAAAGCAAGUAGUCCGUUUUAUUGUUACGGACCAGAGAGGUUGGGGGUGCAGAUGAAACCAACAUCUGGUUGGCCGGGCACGGUGGCUCACACCUGUAAUCCCAGCACUUUGGGAGGCCGAGGCGGGCGGAUCAUGAAGUCAGGAGAUCGAGACCAUCCUAGCUAACACGGUGAAACCCCGUCUCUACUAAAAACACAAAAAAUUUGCCGGGCGUGGUGGCGGGAGCCUGUAGUCUCAGUUACUCAGGAGGCUGAGACAGGAGAAUGGCAUGAACCCGGGAGGCAGAGGUUGCAGUGAGCCGAGAUCGCGCCACUGCACUCCAGCCUGGGUGACAGAGCGAGACUCCAUCUCAAAAAAAAUAAAUAAAUAAAAAUAAAAAAAAUAAAAAAUAAAAAAUUCAUUUGCAGGAACAUUUUGUUGUCUUUAAUGCCUUAACAGCUCCUGAAAAAAAUCAUGUCAAAUGAUCAAUCCAUGUUAUUUUUUCAUGCACAUCAAAGUCACACAUUUAUUAAAUCAGCAAUAAAUUACAUUUCAUUGUGAAUUCAUAUUGACUUUAUACGUCUGUAGUAGACUUUAA
rnacentral:lncRNA from 1 species